UUAAUUUAAUUUUUUUUUUUUUUAAUUUACUAAAAGAGUAAAACUAAUAUUCUUAAGUAUGAGUAACAAAAAAAAAUGAAAACAAGGUAUGUUUGAGUUGAAAAUAUUUUGUUAAAUAAAUCUUUUGAAGCUAUUUCUAUCUAGAUUAUUUCUGCUCCAGCUACCAAUCACUCUACUUUAUUUAUACAAGUAGAAUUUCUACUAAAAAUAACUUGUUCUCCUCAGGAUCUUUAUUGGGUAAUUUGUACAUAAUAAUAUUAAGUAAUAUUUUUUUUUCAGCUUAAACGGAAUAUUUUAUUUAGUUGUAACAAUCAUUGAUUAUAAAAAAUUUUGGAAAAUGGCUGCAAAUUAGGUAAGUACAAAAAUAUUGAUAAAGAAUUAUUAGAAACUUAUUAAGAAUGGUGAGAAGAUAUAUUGACGAAACUAUAUCUUGACUAAAGUAAAGGAGAGAUGUGUAAUGCAUGCAUAAAGUUUGAUUCAAAACUUUAGAGUCUUCGAGUUUGAAAUUUCAAGAAACAGCAUUAAUUUUUAAAUGAAACAGUACAACAUCACAAUUCUUUGCAAGAGAAGCAAGUCUUGAUAUUAAAGUGCAAAAGAUUGCGGAAUGUAAGUUUUUCAAAGAGUGUUAUCUGGUUUAAUUAAAAGUUUAGUUUAGAAUAAAACCAGAUAAAUAUUUUUCAUCAAGUUAGAAAAUAUGUUAGUAUUUCCAACACGUUAAUAAAUAAUAUAUGGAACUUUUUUUCAUCAAGUUAAAAAAGACUUACCAAGAAGCAUUACUGGAAUUUAUUGUUAUGAUGAACUGUCAUCAAGUUUUAAGCCUAUGAGUAGAACAUAAACAUUAGUGUCGCAUGCAUCAAAGUUCGAUUUGGUCGAUAAGUAGAAGAUCAUUUGAAGAGAGCUCUUAAUAGAGUAGCAUAACAAUUAUUUUAUUACAUUUUUGUAUGUUUAUAUUUUAAAUGUUUGAUUUUUUAUUUUUGUAUGCUUAUAUUAUAAAUAAA